GUGGGGAAUAUUGGACAAUGGGGGGAACCCUGAUCCAGCCAUGCCGCGUGUGUGAAGAAGGCCUUUUGGUUGUAAAGCACUUUAAGCGAGGAGGAGGCUACCGAGAUUAAUACUCUUGGAUAGUGGACGUUACUCGCAGAAUAAGCACCGGCUAACUCUGUGCCAGCAGCCGCGGUAAUACAGAGGGUGCAAGCGUUAAUCGGAUUUACUGGGCGUAAAGCGCGCGUAGGUGGCCAAUUAAGUCAAAUGUGAAAUCCCCGAGCUUAACUUGGGAAGUGCAUUGGAUACUGGUUGGCUAGAGUAUGGGAGAGGAUGGUAGAAUUCCAGGUGUAGCGGUGAAAUGCGUAGAGAUCUGGAGGAAUACCGAUGGCGAAGGCAGCCAUCUGGCCUAAUACUGACACUGAGGUGCGAAAGCAUGGGGAGCAAACAGGAUUAGAAACCCCGGUAGUCC
rnacentral:rRNA from 1 species